rnacentral:rRNA from 1 species
CCUACGGGAGGCUGCAGUGGGGAAUAUUGGACAAUGGGGGGAACCCUGAUCCAGCCAUGCCGCGUGUGUGAAGAAGGCCCUCGGGUUGUAAAGCACUUUCAGUGAGGAAGAACGCCUGGUGGUUAAUACCCAUCAGGAAAGACAUCACUCACAGAAGAAGCACCGGCUAACUCCGUGCCAGCAGCCGCGGUAAUACGGAGGGUGCGAGCGUUAAUCGGAAUUACUGGGCGUAAAGCGCGCGUAGGUGGCUUGAUAAGCCGGUUGUGAAAGCCCCGGGCUCAACCUGGGAACGGCAUCCGGAACUGUCAAGCUAGAGUGCAGGAGAGGAAGGUAGAAUUCCCGGUGUAGCGGUGAAAUGCGUAGAGAUCGGGAGGAAUACCAGUGGCGAAGGCGGCCUUCUGGACUGAAACUGACACUGAGGUGCGAAAGCGUGGGUAGCAAACAGGAUUAGAUACCCUUGUAGUC